rnacentral:tRNA from 2 species
GCCGACUUAGCUCAGCAGGCAAAGCAACUGACUUGUAAUCAGUAGGUCACCAGUUCGAUUCCGGUAGUCGGCACCA